rnacentral:rRNA from 1 species
GACGAACGCUGGCGGCGUGCUUAACACAUGCAAGUCGAACGAUGAACCCGGAGCUUGCUCCGGCGGAUUAGUGGCGAACGGGUGAGUAACACGUGAGUAACCUGCCCUUGACUCUGGGAUAACUGCGGGAAACUGUAGCUAAUACCGGAUACGACCCUCGGCGGCAUCGCCAGGGGGUGGAAAGAAUUUCGGUCAAGGAUGGACUCGCGGCCUACCAGCUAGUUGGUGAGGUAACGGCUCACCAAGGCGACGGCGGGUAGCCGGCCUGAGAGGGUGACCGGCCACACUAGGACGGGGACACGGCCCAGUCUCCUACGGGAGGCAGCAGUGGGGAAUAUUGCCCAAUGGGCGCAAGCCUGAUGCAGCAGCGCCGCGUGAGGGAUGACGGCCUUCGGGUUGUAAACCUCUUUUAGUAGGGAAGAAGCGAAAGUGACGGUACCUGCAGAAAAAGCACCGGCUAACUACGUGCCAGCAGCCGCAGUAA